rnacentral:rRNA from 1 species
ACAUGCAAGUUGUGCGUCUCUAAGCUAUGGUAGAGACGCGGCGUACGGCUCAGUAACACGUGGCUAACCUACCCUUAGGACGGGGACAACCCCGGGAAACUGGGGCUAAUCCCAGAUAGAUGAGGAGGCCUGGAAUGGUUCCUAGUCAAAAAGACGCUGAAACCAUGCUUUUCGACGUCGCCUAAGGAUGGGGCCGCGCCCGAUCAGGUUGUUGGUGGGGUAACGGCUCACCAAGCCUAUAACCGGUACGGGCCGUGAGAGCGGGAGCCCGGAGAUGGGCACUGAGAUAAGGGCCCAGGCCCUACGGGGCGCAGCAGUCGCGAAAACUCCGCAAUGCGCGAAAGCGUGACGGGGCUACCCCGAGUGCCAUCCGCUGAGGAUGGCUUUUUUCUGGUGUAAUGAGCCGGAGGAAUAAGGAGAGGGCAAGACUGGUGUCAGCCGCCGCGGUAAUACCAGCUCUCCGAGUGGUAGGGAUGAUUAUUGGGCUUAAAGCGUCCGUAGCCGGCUUAGCAAGCCUCCUGUUAAAUUCAGCGACCUAAUCGUUGAGCCGCGGGAGAUACUACUAGGCUAGGAGGCGGGAGAGGCCAACGGUAUUCUCGGGGGUAGGGGUGAAAUCCUAUAAUCCNGGGAGGACCACCAGUGGCGAAGGCUGUUGGCUAGAACGCGCUCGACGGUGAGGGACGAAAGCUGGGGGAGCGAACCGGAUUAGAUACCCGGG